AUUGAACGCUGGCGGCAUGCCUUACACAUGCAAGUCGAACGGCAGCACGGGUGCUUGCACCUGGUGGCGAGUGGCGAACGGGUGAGUAAUACAUCGGAACAUGUCCUGUAGUGGGGGAUAGCCCGGCGAAAGCCGGAUUAAUACCGCAUACGAUCUACGGAUGAAAGCGGGGGACCUUCGGGCCUCGCGCUAUAGGGUUGGCCGAUGGCUGAUUAGCUAGUUGGUGGGGUAAAGGCCUACCAAGGCGACGAUCAGUAGCUGGUCUGAGAGGACGACCAGCCACACUGGGACUGAGACACGGCCCAGACCCCUACGGGAGGCAGCAGGGGGGAAUUUUGGAAAAUGGGCGAAAGCCUUAUCCAGCAAUGCCGCGUGUGUGAAGAAGGCCUUCGGGUUGUAAAGCACUUUUGUCCGGAAAGAAAUCCUUGGCCCUAAUACGGUCGGGGGAUGACGGGACCGGAAGAAUAAGCCCCGGCAAACUACGU
rnacentral:rRNA from 1 species